GACGAACGCUGGCGGCGUGCCUAAUACAUGCAAGUAGAACGCUGAAGGAGGAGCUUGCUUCUCUGGAUGAGUUGCGUACGGGUGAGUAACGCGUAGGUAACCUGCCUGGUAGCGGGGGAUAACUAUUGGAAACGAUAGCUAAUACCGCAUAAUAGUAGAUGUUGCAUGACAUUUGCCUAAAAGGUGCAAUUGCAUCACUACCAGAUGGACCUGCGUUGUAUUAGCUAGUUGGUGGGGUAACGGCUCACCAAGGCGACGAUACAUAGCCGACCUGAGAGGGUGAUCGGCCACACUGGGACUGAGACACGGCCCAGACUCCUACGGGAGGCAGCAGUAGGGAAUCUUCGGCAAUGGACGGAAGUCUGACCGAGCAACGCCGCGUGAGUGAAGAAGGUUUUCGGAUCGUAAAGCUCUGUUGUAAGAGAAGAACGAGUGUGAGAGUGGAAAGUUCACACUGUGACGGUAUCUUACCAGAAAGGGACGGCUAACUACGUG
rnacentral:rRNA from 1 species